rnacentral:rRNA from 1 species
AGAACGAACGCUGGCGGCAUGCCUAACACAUGCAAGUCGAACGGGACCUUCGGGUCUAGUGGCGCACGGGUGCGUAACGCGUGGGAAUCUGCCCUCAGGUACGGAAUAACUCAGGGAAACUUGAGCUAAUACCGUAUAAUGACUUCGGUCCAAAGAUUUAUCGCCUGAGGAUGAGCCCGCGUAGGAUUAGCUUGUUGGUGAGGUAAAAGCUCACCAAGGCGACGAUCCUUAGCUGGUCUGAGAGGAUGAUCAGCCACACUGGGACUGAGACACGGCCCAGACUCCUACGGGAGGCAGCAGUGGGGAAUCUUGCGCAAUGGGCGAAAGCCUGACGCAGCAACGCCGCGUGGGGGAUGAAUGCCUUCGGGUUGUAAACCUCUUUCAGCAGGGACGAAGCGAAAGUGACGGUACCUGCAGAGAAGCACCGGCCAACUACGUGCCAGCAGCCGC